GCUGAGGCCACUGGGACUGGCCAGACCUUGAAGGCGCUUCCCUGGGCAGUGCGCCUCUGGGGCUUAUUCAGAGGUGGGCGGGGGCCCCAGGGUGCCCACACCCUCUCCCCAGGGCGUGGUUUCCUUGAUGCUGGCUGAGCAGGGAGGAAGUCAGACGUCAGGCCCUGCAGCGGGGAGGGCCCAGAGCUUGUCCCCAGGGGCCUUGGAGACAGGCAGGCAGGGCCCUGGGGCUCCAGAAGGACCUCCGCCCUCUCCCCUCUGACACUUCACACUGGGCUUCUUCCGACCCUCCGAGCAUGCUGCCACUGUGUAGAUGUCAGGAGUCCAGCAAGUCCUGGUUUGGGUCCUAGCUCUGUGCGCCUGCCCGGGUUGCCUCCUUCCGGCUCCACGACAGACCCUGGAGGCACCUCAUCCCCACUCGGCAGAGAAUGGAACAAGCGCCAGAACAGAAUGCCUUAUCUAAAUCAAUCAAAGGUUUUUCUCCCACAAACUUCAAAAUUUGGACUUAUCAAUGGGCCAGGCCUAGUGCCUCUGACUGGCCAUUAAGAGGCUACUGGGAUACCGCCCAUGGCAGGGACAUAGGGGGAAGUUACUGUGUUCAAAACAGCUGCGUGUUGAAAUACCUUCCCAGCAGACUAACCACUAAGACUCCUAUCACACAGGCAGCCGGAAGCACAGUAAAUCUGAAACCUGGCAUCUGCAACAUGGGGGCACAUCAUAGCCGGGGGUCAGGCGGGAAAUGUGAAGCCAAAGACUCCCCUGCUGAAGUAGGUAUGGAAAGCCACCUGCUCGCGAGCAACCAGAGGAAACCAGCUUGGUUUGGGCUUUAAGCAGCGAAUUUUUAAACCACUUCUGAGCUGUCCCUCACUUGUAGCUGAGAUAAGCCAGGGAGAAGAAUAUGGGGUGGGAGCAGGAAGAUGGAGGGCCAGACCCCAGCUCCCCAUUUGGUUGCUGUAACCCCUCUGAGCCUCAGUACCCUCAUCUGUAAAGCGAGGGCAUGCCCUAUGCAACGACAUAGACAUAGUUCAAUAAACGUCAAGGGUCAUUAUCCCCAAGUAAAAGAAAUAGUCUCAGUUUGACUAUAACAUUUUAAAAAUUGCCAUUUUCACAACCACAGAUAUAAGACAAAUGAGAAAUUGUCCGGUUCAGACUUUAAAUCCCAACCCCCAAC